GGGUGAGUAACGCGUGAGUAACCUGCCUUACACAAGGGGAUAGCCGUUGGAAACGACGAAUAAUACCCUAUGAAACUAUCACUUCGCAUGAAGCGAUAGUCAAAGUGUUAGCGGUGUAAGAUGGACUUGCGUCUGAUUAGCUAGUUGGUGAGAAAAAGCCCACCAAGGCAACGAUCAGUAGCCGGCUUGAGAGAGUGUACGGCCACAUUGGGACUGAGACACGGCCCAG
rnacentral:rRNA from 1 species